GACGAACGCUGGCGGCGUGCCUAAUACAUGCAAGUAGAACGCUGAAGGAGGAGCUUGCUUCUCUGGAUGAGUUGCGAACGGGUGAGUAACGCGUAGGUAACCUGCCUGGUAGCGGGGGAUAACUAUUGGAAACGAUAGCUAAUACCGCAUAAUAGUAGAUGUUGCAUGACAUUUGCUUAAAAGGUGCAAUUGCAUCACUACCAGAUGGACCUGCGUUGUAUUAGCUAGUUGGUGGGGUAACGGCUCACCAAGGCGACGAUACAUAGCCGACCUGAGAGGGGGAUCGGCCACACUGGGACUGAGACACGGCCCAGACUCCUACGGGAGGCAGCAGUAGGGAAUCUUCGGCAAUGGACGGAAGUCUGACCGAGCAACGCCGCGUGAGUGAAGAAGGGUUUCGGAUCGUAAAGCUCGGUUGUAAGAGAAGAACGAGUGUGAGAGUGGAAAGUUCACACUGUGACGGUAGCUUACCAGAAAGGGACGGCUAACUACGUG
rnacentral:rRNA from 1 species